GUGUGUGUUCUGUGAGUGGAAGACAAAAACUACCUUUCUGAGGUUGAAACUCAGUGUGUGGAAUAUUCAUCGAGACGUUAAAAAGGCUGAUUUCCCUCGUGUUUGCAUCCUAACUUCACGACUGCUUUUAUCCAAACCUCUUGAUGUCUACAGAGACUUUACACUAAACACACUGCAUAGCCGAGCAUCAACAACUCCUUCUUGUGUGACAGGUCUCCGAGCAGACAGAGAGAUGGUGUCAUUGGAAUGUAGAGGUCAAGGUUAAAGGAGGGCCUCCCUCUGACCUCCGGCAGAAGAGCGGAGUGUGUGAACGAAGCCAAGCGGCGUGGACGUGAUUGUCUGCGUAAUCAAACAUAAAGCACUGAUUUUAGUCAGAUCCAGCGAGCCAAGCUUGCCACUUGUGGUUUAUCGUCUCACACAAGCGGUUUUCAGACAUGAACUCCAGAGAAUGCACACAAUGCUUUGUCCAGAGUUUGCCUUUCACCCAGGAACAAUGCAGCAGGAGAC